UCCAACAAUAAACUGCAGUUACUCAUAAAAAUUUAAAUAGGAUACUACAUACUUGUCAACAAUACUCUUUAGAGUUGAUAUCUAUGUGGCAGUUUUUGCAAAGAAUUUCUCAUACUACAACCACCUACGAAUAACAGCAAUGAAAAUGGAUAUUGCAUGUGGACAACAAGCUGCCAUUAGUUUUUCAACCAGUAGCUGCUGUUGCUGCAAGUAAUUCUAUCACCACUUCAGCUACGUCAUCCAGUAUUAGGUAGUACACAGAGACCUCCUGUUGAAUUACCUGAAAUGAGAGGCUAAUAGAACAUGAUCACCCACACCUCAUACAAGAAAAUGGGAGACAUCGUCAGAGGAGGCUUAGAGUAGAAGCAUUAGGAGAUAGACGACACAGUUUAAUGAAGCCCAAGCAUGGGAACAAUUUUUUGAAGAAACUGACAAUAGCAAUUCUAAUGAUAUGGAGCAAGGUGUUACAAUUCACGAGCAGCAACAACAUAGAGAAGAAGAAAUUCUUGAGGUGUGUUUAAUUUGCUACAAUGAAAUUUCUACUGUAACUGUAAUACCCUGCCAGCAUAAUUUUUGUAGAGGAUGUAUUGAAAGGUGAAUGCGAGAGGGAGCAACAUGUUGUUCAUUAUGUAGAACUAACAACAUUAGGCUACAGAAGUGAUUAUUUUAUUAUUUAUUAAUUAAUCUCAAGAAAAGAGAAGACUUAAACUAUCACAACUAUUAUUAACUACUUAUAGUAGUAAUUCAGUAGUUGUAUAUUAUAAUAUUAUAUAAAUUAAUUAUAAAGUAUUGUUUGUCACAUAAUUACUUUUCUUGUUUUAU